rnacentral:rRNA from 1 species
GGCGGCGUGUCUAAUACAUGCAAGUAGAACGCUGAAGAGAAGAGCUUGCUCUUCUUGGAUGAGUUGCGAACGGGUGAGUAACGCGUAGGUAACCUGCCUGGUAGCGGGGGAUAACUAUUGGAAACGAUAGCUAAUACCGCAUAAAAUUGAUUAUUGCUUGAUAAUUAAUUGAAAGAUGCAAUUGCAUUACUACCAGAUGGACCUGCGUUGUAUUAGCUAGUUGGUGAGGUAACGGCUCACCAAGGCGACGAUACAUAGCCGACCUGAGAGGGUGAUCGGCCACACUGGGACUGAGACACGGCCCAGACUCCUACGGGAGGCAGCAGUAGGGAAUCUUCGGCAAUGGGGGGAACCCUGACCGAGCAACGCCGCGUGAGUGAAGAAGGUUUUCGGAUCGUAAAGCUCUGUUGUAAGAGAAGAACGGGUGUGAGAGUGGAAAGUUCACACUGUGACGGAU